rnacentral:rRNA from 1 species
AUUGAACGCUGGCGGAAUGCCUUACACAUGCAAGUCGAACGGCAGCACGGGAGCAAUCCUGGUGGCGAGUGGCGAACGGGUGAGUAAUACAUCGGAACGUGCCCAAUCGUGGGGGAUAACGUAGCGAAAGCUACGCUAAUACCGCAUACGAUCUACGGAUGAAAGUCGGGGGAUCGCAAGACCUCGCGCGAAUGGAGCGGCCGAUGGCAGAUUAGGUAGUUGGGGGGUAAAGGCUCACCAAGCCUUCGAUCUGUAGCUGGUCUGAGAGGACGACCAGCCACACUGGGACUGAGACACGGCCCAGACUCCGUACGGGAGGCAGCAGUGGGGAAUCUUGCGCAAUGGGCGGAAGCCUGACGCAGCGACGCC